rnacentral:rRNA from 1 species
AGAGCGAACGCUGGCGGCAGGCCUAAAACAUGCAAGUCGAACGGAUCCUUCGGGAUUAGUGGCGGACGGGUGAGUAACACGUGGGAACGUGCCUUUUGGUUCGGAACAACUCAGGGAAACUUGAGCUAAUACCGAAUGUGCCCUUCGGGGGAAAGAUUUAUCGCCAUUAGAGCGGCCCGCGUCUGAUUAGCUAGUUGGUGAGGUAAAGGCUCACCAAGGCUACGAUCAGUAGCUGGUCUGAGAGGAUGAUCAGCCACACUGGGACUGAGACACGGCCCAGACUCCUACGGGAGGCAGCAGUUAGGAAUCUUGCGCAAUGGGGGAAACCCUGACGCAGCCAUGCCGCGUGAAUGAUGAAGGUCUUAGGAUUGUAAAAUUCUUUCAGCGGGGACGAUAAUGACGGUACCCGCAGAAGAAGCUCCGGCUAACGUUCGUGCCAGCAGCCGC